rnacentral:rRNA from 1 species
AAAGGGUGCGUAGGCGGUUUAUUAAGUCAGUGGUGAAAGACGGUCGCUCAACGAUUGCAGUGCCAUUGAUACUGGUAGACUUGAGUGGGAUUGAGGUAGCUGGAAUGGAUAGUGUAGCGGUGAAAUGCAUAGAUAUUAUCCAGAACACCAAUUGCGUAGGCAAGUUACUAAGUCUCAACUGACGCUGAGGCACGAAAGUGUGGGUAUCAAACAGGAUUAGAUACCCCUGU